rnacentral:rRNA from 1 species
GGUUUCCGUAGGUGAACCUGCGGAAGGAUCAUUACCGAGUGUAGGGUUCCUAGCGAGCCCAACCUCCCACCCGUGUUUACUGUACCUUAGUUGCUUCGGCGGGCCCGCCAUUCAUGGCCGCCGGGGGCUCUCAGCCCCGGGCCCGCGCCCGCCGGAGACACCACGAACUCUGUCUGAUCUAGUGAAGUCUGAGUUGAUUGUAUCGCAAUCAGUUAAAACUUUCAACAAUGGAUCUCUUGGUUCCGGCAUCGAUGAAGAACGCAGCGAAAUGCGAUAACUAGUGUGAAUUGCAGAAUUCCGUGAAUCAUCGAGUCUUUGAACGCACAUUGCGCCCCCUGGUAUUCCGGGGGGCAUGCCUGUCCGAGCGUCAUUGCUGCCCAUCAAGCACGGCUUGUGUGUUGGGUCGUCGUCCCCUCUCCGGGGGGGACGGGCCCCAAAGGCAGCGGCGGCACCGCGUCCGAUCCUCGAGCGUAUGGGGCUUUGUCACCCGCUCUGUAGGCCCGGCCGGCGCUUGCCGAACGCAAAUCAAUCUUUUUCCAGGUUGACCUCGGAUCAGGUAGGGAUACCCGCUGAACUUAAGCAU